rnacentral:rRNA from 1 species
CAGAGGGGCAAGCGUUGUCGGAAUUACUGGGCAUAAAGGGCGCGUAGGCGGCCUGCUAAGUCGAACGUGAAAUCCCUGGGCUCAACCCAGGAACUGCGUCCGAUACUGGUUGGCUUGAAUCCGGGAGAGGGAUGUGGAAUUCCAGGUGUAGCGGUGAAAUGCGUAGAUAUCUGGAGGAACACCGGUGGCGAAGGCGACAUCCUGGACCGGUAUUGACGCUGAGGCGCGAAAGCCAGGGGAGCAAACGGGAUUAGAUACCCCGGUAGUCCUGGCCCUAAACGAUGAAUGCUUGGUGUGGUGGGUAUCGAUCCCUACCGUGCCGAAGCUAACGCAUUAAGCAUUCCGCCUGGGGAGUACGGUCGCAAGGCUG